AUGGAUCUAAUUCUUCCAUUUAAAAUUGGAGAUUUUGCCGAGGCAAAGUGCUUUGAUGAAGGUUUCAAAGGCGCAUGGUUCCGCUCGAAGAUAAAAGAUAUGCGUGUCACAGAAUCUGGGCAUCUUGAGUAUUACUUGGAGUAUAUUGACUAUACUGAAGAAGCCAACGAAUGGAUUGGAGUCUUCCAAAAGAACCCAUUCAACCCACCAUGCCUGGAAGGGAAAUCAAAUGGCAGUACUGAAAUAAUGUUGCGUCCUUCCUUUCCUCGGUGGUAUAGGGGGCAACACGCUCCUAGGCACUUUCCGAAGAGCGAGGUGAUAGCACAUGUUCAUGAUGCCUGGAAAGUAGGUGAUUGGGUUGACUGGCAUAAUAAAGAUUGCUACUGGACUGGGCAGAUUAUUGAGUUGACCAGUAAAAAUGUGGUUGAGGUAAAAUUCUUGGAUCAUCCCAUGGGUGAAGGCCAGCAGUGUCUUGCUAAGAAAAAGGACCUGAGGCCUGCGCUUGAUUGGUCCAUCAUUAAAGGCUGGACUGUGCCUCUUUCGACGGCAAAAGGGAAAAGCUGGCAAGCUGCUCAUCUGGUUCAUCCUCAAUCUGAUGUAGAAGAGAGGAGCAGCACAGAUGAAGAUGAAGCUCUGGGAUCUUCAUCAACCGUCAAAACACCUUCGUCGGACAGAAACACCGUAUCUAAGCUAAGCAAUCAGAGGAUGGCGACACACAUAUCAUUAGACCCCAGUCGACGGCGUACCCGCAGUUCCUGUGGGCUACUGAUAUCUCCAUUGGAGCCUGCCACCGUCGAACCGAAUGGAAAUAGCGGUUCCCGCCGGUACCCCUUUCGGGUCCGAAGGAACGCAGCGGAACAGCAGAGAUAA
rnacentral:rRNA from 1 species